rnacentral:rRNA from 1 species
AUGGGAGUAAAUGCCGGAUUCAAAAGCUCUCGGCCAGGUCAAAAGCCGCCCACUAAAGGCACCAGGGAUGAACUGUCCAGCCUCAACAAAAUUCUGGACCAAGUAUGUCAGAUCCACAGUACCCCGGGUAAACCUGCUAAUCAUACCCAUAGAGAAUGUUGGGUCUUCAAGCAGUCUGGCAAGCUCAACGCCAUACACAAGGGGGAGGACACACCAAGUGAAGACGAGGGCGAGCCCCCCAAGCAAGACACGGGGGAACAAAAGAAAUUCCCACUAGAAGUCAAAACAAUAAACGUACUACACAUGAUCAAGGGAAAAACAAUGUGGCACCCCCAGGAAAAUAUACCCAAGUGCCUGUCACCUCGAAGUCCUGCCAAUGGUCGUCUCAACCGAUCACUUUUUACCAUCGUGAUUACUCAGCAAGUAUCCGACACGCAGGAUGGGCUGCCUUGGUAUUAG